rnacentral:rRNA from 1 species
GAUGAACGCUGGCGGCGUGCCUAAUACAUGCAAGUCGAGCGAACGGACGAGAAGCUUGCUUUUCUGAUGUUAGCGGCGGACGGGUGAGUAACACGUGGAUAACCUACCUAUAAGACUGGGAUAACUUCGGGAAACCGGAGCUAAUACCGGAUAAUAUUUUGAACCGCAUGGUUCAAAAGUGAAAGACGGUCUUGCUGUCACUUAUAGAUGGAUCCGCGCUGCAUUAGCUAGUUGGUAAGGUAACGGCUUACCAAGGCAACGAUGCAUAGCCGACCUGAGAGGGUGAUCGGCCACCCGGGAACUGAGACACGGUCCAGACUCCUACGGGAGGCAGCAGUAGGGAAUCUUCCGCAAUGGGCGAAAGCCUGACGGAGCAACGCCGCGUGAGUGAUGAAGGUCUUCGGAUCGUAAAACUCUGUUAUUAGGGAAGAACAUAUGUGUAAGUAACUGUGCACAUCUUGACGGUACCUAAUCAGAAAGCCACGGCUAACUACGUG